rnacentral:rRNA from 1 species
UACGUAGGGGGCAAGCGUUGUCCGGAAUCAUUGGGCGUAAAGAGCGUGUAGGCGGCUCGAUAAGUCUGCUGUGAAAGUCCAGGGCUCAACCCUGGAAGGCCGGUGGAAACUGUCGGGCUAGAGUCCGGAAGAGGCGAGUGGAAUUCCCGGUGUAGCGGUGAAAUGCGUAGAUAUUGGGAGGAACACCGGUGGCGAAGGCGGCUACCUGGACCGGUACUGACGCUGAGGCGCGAAAGCCAGGGGAGCAAACAGG